rnacentral:rRNA from 1 species
CCUACGGGAGGCUGCAGUGGGGAAUAUUGCACAAUGGGCGAAAGCCUGAUGCAGCAACGCCGCGUGAAGGAAGAAGGGUUUCGGCUCGUAAACUUCUAUCAACAGGGACGAAAGAAAUGACGGUACCUGCAUAAGAAGCCCCGGCUAACUACGUGCCAGCAGCCGCGGUAAUCCGUAGGGGGCAAGCGUUAUCCGGAAUUACUGGGUGUAAAGGGUGAGUAGGCGGCAUGGUAAGCCAGAUGUGAAAGCCCUGGGCUUAACCCGAGGAUUGCAUUUGGAACUAUCAAGCUAGAGUACAGGAGAGGAAAGCGGAAUUCCUAGUGUAGCGGUGAAAUGCGUAGAUAUUAGGAAGAACACCAGUAGCGAAGGCGGCUUUCUGGACUGAAACUGACGCUGAGGCACGAAAGCGUGGGGAGCGAACAGGAUUAGAUACCCUUGUAGUC